CAAACACACCCAUAAUGUAAAAGGAAAUAGAUAAUUUUAAAAGAUAUCUUAGAACAUAAUUUAGAUAAAAUAAGUAACUUACUUGCUUACAGGAGAGAGAUUUCCCUUUCGAAAAACCCGAAAAGAGUCUACUGAACUUCAAGAAUUAAAAACGAUCACACAUAAGCACACAAUAUUUAUUUAUUUUACAAGCUUAGAGGAGGAACUACUAGAAUAUUCAUAAGGGAAUUUUUUACAAGGUGUUUUGGAAAGAAUUUUUGGUUUAUGGAAAGGUUGGCUGAGUAGGUUCCCUUCAAAGUAUUUUUCAUUCUCUUUUUUAGUGUGUCUUUCUCUUAUUCUUUGUCUUGCUUUUAUAGCCGAAUUUUA
rnacentral:lncRNA from 1 species